AGAGUUUGAUCAUGGCUCAGAACGAACGUUGGCGGCGUGGAUGAGGCAUGCAAGUCGGGGGAAUCCCAGCAAUGGGGGAACCGGCGUAAGGGGCAGUAAGGCGUGGGUACCUACCCCGGGGUCCGGGAUAGCCGUCCGAGAGGGCGGGUAAUACCGGAUGACCUCGGGAGAGCAAAGAUUUAUCGCCCCGGGCGGGGCCCACGUGAUAUUACCUGGUUGGCGGGGUAACGGCCCACCAAGGGGGAGACGUCUAGCGGGUGUGAGAGCACGACCCGCGCCACUGGCACUGAGACACUGGCCAGACACCUACGGGUGGCUGCAGUCGAGGAUCUUCGGCAAUGGGCGCAAGCCCGACCGAGCGACGCCGCGUGUGCGACGAAGGCCUUCGGGUUGUAAAGCACUGUCGAGGGGGAGAAAAGCGCAAGCUUGAUCUAUCCCUGGAGGAAGCACGGGCUAAGUUCGUGCCAGCAGCCGCGGUAAUAC
rnacentral:rRNA from 1 species